GAUGAACGCUGGCGGCGUGCCUAAUACAUGCAAGUCGAGCGAAUGGAUUAAGAGCUUGCUCUUAUGAAGUUAGCGGCGGACGGGUGAGUAACACGUGGGUAACCUGCCCAUAAGACUGGGAUAACUCCGGGAAACCGGGGCUAAUACCGGAUAACAUUUUGAACCGCAUGGUUCGAAAUUGAAAGGCGGCUUCGGCUGUCACUUAUGGAUGGACCCGCGUCGCAGUAGCUAGUUGGUGAGGUAACGGCUCACCAAGGCAACGAUGCGUAGCCGACCUGGGAGGGUGAUCGGCCACGAUGGGACUGGGACACGGCCCAGACUCCUACGGAGGGCAGCAGUAGGGAAUCUUCCGCAAUGGACGAAGGUCUGACGGAGUAACGCCGCGUGAGUGAUGAAGGCUUUCGGGUCGUAAAACUCUGUUGUUAGGGAAGAACAAGUGCUAGUUGAAUAAGCUGGCACCUUGACGGUACCUAACCAGAAAGCCACGGCUAACUACGUGCCAGCAGCCGCCGCGG
rnacentral:rRNA from 1 species